AACAGGAUUAGAUACCCUGGUAGUCCACGCCGUAAACGAUGUCGACUUGGAGGUUGUGCCCUUGAGGCGUGGCUUCCGGAGCUAACGCGUUAAGUCGACCGCCUGGGGAGUACGGCCGCAAGGUUAAAACUCAAAUGAAUUGACGGGGGCCCGCAUAAGCGGUGGAGCAUGUGGUUUAAUUCGAUGCAACGCGAAGAACCUUACCUACUCUUGACAUCCAGAGAACUUAGCAGAGAUGCUUUGGUGCCUUCGGGAACUCUGAGACAGGUGCUGCAUGGCUGUCGUCAGCUCGUGUUGUGAAAUGUUGGGUUAAGUCCCGCAACGAGCGCAACCCUUAUCCUUUGUUGCCAGCGAUUCGGUCGGGAACUCAAAGGAGACUGCCAGUGAUAAACUGGAGGAAGGUGGGGAUGACGUCAAGUCAUCAUGGCCCUUACGAGUAGGGCUACACACGUGCUACAAUGGCAUAUACAAAGAGAAGCGACCUCGCGAGAGCAAGCGGACCUCAUAAAGUAUGUCGUAGUCCGGAUUGGAGUCUGCAACUCGACUCCAUGAAGUCGGAAUCGCUAGUAAUCGUGGAUCAGAAUGCCACGGUGAAUACGUUCCCGGGCCUUGUACACACCGCCCGUCACACCAUGGGAGUGGGUUGCAAAAGAAGUAGGUAGCUUAACCUUCGGGAGGGCGCUUACCACUUCGUGAUUCAUGACUGGGGUGAAGUCGUAACAAGGUAACC
rnacentral:rRNA from 1 species